UACGGAGGGUGCGAGCGUUGUCCGGAAUCACUGGGCGUAAAGGGCGCGUAGGCGGCCUGAUAAGUAGGGGGUGAAAUCCUGCGGCUUAACCGCAGGGCUGCCUUCUAAACUGUCAGGCUAGAGCACAGUAGAGGCAGGUGGAAUUCCCGGUGUAGCGGUGGAAUGCGUAGAGAUCGGGAAGAACAUCAGUGGCGAAGGCGGCCUGCUGGGCUGUUGCUGACACUCAACUACGAAAGCGUGGGGAGCAAACAGG
rnacentral:rRNA from 1 species